GGCCCGGUAGCUCAGUUGGAUAGAGCGCCGUGCUAAUAACGCGAAUGUCGUGGAUUCUAUCCCCAUCCGAGCCA
rnacentral:tRNA from 1 species